rnacentral:rRNA from 1 species
GAUGAACGCUGGCGGCGUGCCUAAUACAUGCAAGUCGAGCGAACAGACGAUGCUCUUGCGCCUCUGACGUUAGCGGCGGACGGGUGUGUAACAUGUGUAUAACCUACCUAUAAUACUGGGAUAAUUUCGGGAAACCGGAUCUAAUACCGUAGAAUAUAUUGAACCGCAUGGGGCAAUAGAAAAAUACGGUUGUUGUGGCUGGUAUAGAUGGAUCUGCGCUGCAUUGGCUAGUUGGGAAGGUAACGGCUUACCAAGGCUACGAUGCGUAGACGAACUGAGAGAGUGAUCGGCCACACUGGAACUGAGACACGGUCCAGACUCCUACGGGAGGCAGCAGUAGGGAAUGUUACGCAAUGGGCGAAAGCUUUACGGAGCAACGCCGAGUGAGUGAUGAAGGUCUUCGGAUCGUAAAAAUCUGUUAUUAGGGAAGAACAAAUGUGUAAGUAACUAUGGACGUCUUGACGGUAACUAAUCAGAAAGCCACGGCUAACUACGUG